rnacentral:rRNA from 1 species
GACGUAGGGCGCAAGCGUUGUCCGGAAUUAUUGGGCGUAAAGAGCUUGUAGGCGGUCUGUCGCGUCUGCUGUGAAAAUCCGGGGCUCAACCCCGGACUUGCAGUGGGUACGGGCAGACUAGAGUGUGGUAGGGGAGACUGGAAUUCCUGGUGUAGCGGUGAAAUGCGCAGAUAUCAGGAGGAACACCGAUGGCGAAGGCAGGUCUCUGGGCCACUACUGACGCUGAGAAGCGAAAGCAUGGGGAGCGAACAGG